UACGUAGGGGGCUAGCGUUGUCCGGAUUUAUUGGGCGUAAAGAGCGUGUAGGCGGCCAGGUAGGUCUGCUGUGAAAACUCGAGGCUCAACCCUCGAAUGCCGGUGGAUACUGCCGGGCUAGAGUCCGGAAGAGGCGAGUGGAAUUCCUGGUGUAGCGGUGAAAUGCGCAGAUAUCAGGAGGAACACCAAUGGCGAAGGCAGCUCGCUGGGACGGUACUGACGCUGAGGCGCGAAAGCGUGGGGAGCAAACAGG
rnacentral:rRNA from 1 species